AUUAGAGAAAGACAUGCUCCUGACAUUGUUAAACUAGUAGGAUUAUAAACCUGGAGCUGCCAUGAGCGCUUUUGCUGAUACUGGGGCAGCAUCUGAGAAUGAAGGAGGACUCAGAAUCACGAGCCGAUUUCUAAGGAGAUUUGCCCAGCAGGCUGCCAGAGGAAGUGUGGUUCAGAGCUCUCCACGUUCACAUCAGACUUGUCCUCUUCUUGCUGCUGGAGCAAGGGUGGAUGUUCUCAGGGCCGGUGACAGAAACGGAUCUUUUAAAAAUGACUUCCCUGCUCAGCUGCCAGGUUGGAAGGGCUUGAACUUGGGGUCUCGAGGCCCCGUCCCUGGCCCUGCUGGAGGUCCAGCGCUGCAGGUUUGCCGACAGUGAGGAUUUCCUCCUCCUGCUCCCCAAGGCCCAGUCUGUCCAGUCCUGUGACCAGGCACAUGUGGCCUUGUCACGAAGAAUCGGCUCCGGGGGAGGUUGGAGGGUGGAGAUUUUAUUUAUUCCUGAGAGACACAGAGAGAGGCAGAGACAUAGGCAGAGGGAG